UUGGGUAGUUUAACAGUUAAACGCGGGUGAAAAGGACUGAUCCAUGCGUCAAGCUCUUAUUGGUUUUUUGUUCCCCGAUUCUAAGACGUUGGUGUUACGGCAAGAUUUUAUCGGCACCCCCACACCACAUCAACCCUAAAAAAGUUAAAAACAAUAAAAAGAAUUAAAUACUAAUAAAUUAAAAAAAUGACGUGUCCCCUGUUUUUCAUUUAUUAUUCAUAAAAUCUGUUCUUCUCCCACUCUCUUCCUCCAUUCAGUUCUUUCUCUUCACAAGUUUCCUCUCCCUUUAGGUUUCCUUUCCUUUGCUUCCAAAUCUAUCAGCUGAGGCCUCUUAGCCCCUGUUUGUAUGCUCUGAAGAUUGAUAGUGAUGAUGAUGGUGACAAUAUUGGCAGUGCUGAUGCUGAUAAAUGAGGAUGAUGAAGAGAUUUACUAGUUUUAGGUGUUGAUUGAUUUUCUGAAAGGGGAUUGACUGCUAUAUGGUUUUCAUUUUUUUGGUAAAUAAGCACAGUUUUGCAUUUGAAGCAGAUGGGUUGAAAGGGUUUGAUAGUUUAGAUUUCAGAGUAAUAUGGCUAUUGCUGGUCUGCACAACGUUUCUGUGCUUGAAAAUUCUUUCCUAAGGGAGUCUCAGUCUCAAGCAUCAAGAAGGCGGGGAAAUGGUAGUACCCGGCCAUCCUCACUCCUGCAGAUGUGGCGGGAGCUUGAGGAUGAGCAUGUGGUGAGUCAUGCUCAAGAGAGAACCAAUGAAAGAAUGCUCCAACGGAGGAGUAAUGACCUUCCCAUGACUGAUCUUUCUGAUAGUCGACAUAGUGAACAUAGUGGUGUUUCAGAGGAUGUGAGUGUGAGUGUGAGUGAGAAUGAGUUUGUACAAUGGUUACCAGAUCAAUUUGGAUUGCAGAAUGGGAGUGAGGAUUCAAGUAAUUUUGAUUGUGAACAUUCAUCUGAUUUGGGGGAAGUUGAAAGGGAAAGGGUAAGACAAAUAUUUCAGGAGUGGAUGAACAGUGGUGGAAGGGGAUGUACAUCUAAUGUUUCUGGUAGAAACAAUAGUUCAAGGGCCCAGUGGCUGGGUGAAACUGAGCAGGAGAGAGUCAGAAUUAUAAGGGAGUGGGUGCAAAUGAAUAGCCAGCAGAGAGGUUCUCUUACGGACAGUAGAGAAGAGCAAGCUGCUGAUGCUGGCGGUCAAAUAGAACGACUUCUUGAUGGUUUGGUGGUUAACCAGAAUGCAGGCCGGACCGAGCAUGUGCAUAGGGGUAUUCGAAAAUUAUGUGGCCGACAGGCCCUGCUUGAUAUGCUUAAAAAAGCUGAGAGAGAGAGGCAAACAGAGCUUCAGAGGUUGUUGGAGCAUCGGGCUGUAUCAAAUUUUGCCCAUCGCAACCGAAUUCAGUCUUUAUUAAGGGGUAGAUUCUUGAGAAAUGACAGAAUGGUUGAAGGUGACAGAUCUACUUCUAUUGCAGCCAGUGAAUUGGGCUUAUUAAGACAAAAACAGACUGUAUCUGGUCUAAGGGAAGGUUUUUUAUCCCGACUGGAUAAUUCGUGUUCUGGUCCUGCGAGCAGUAAUCGUUCAGAUAGAUCAUCUAGCGCUGACAGUGAUGGGAAUAGAAGUGAAGAAAACCGAGUAAAUAAUACACAUGAUGCAAUAGGUGGAUUAAAUGACCGAUCUGAAUGUGAGAAUGAGGAAACUGAUAAUGGGAGGUGUAUGAUUGGUACAACGGAUUUAGAGGUUGAAACUGAAGUAAGUCAGCAAGCAACUUCUGCUUGUUUAGAAGAUCAGCAGGAACAAGUUUCUGAGAGUGUAUUCAGUAUCUGGCAGGGGUCGGCCAGUGCUGAGUCUAAUGAAAGCAGAUAUGAUAUUGGACAAGUCUUUGAUGGGCCCAGGCAAGAAAGUCUUGCUGAUGAGUCGUCCCUUGAAACUUUGCAGAAUGAAGCUGGAGAACAAAGUAAUCUACAAGAAUCUGGUGAAGCAUCUUAUGAACGUUCUUUCCAAGAUGGUGAGAGAAGUAGGACCUAUUGGUUAACGAAUGUUGUACAAAAUGUAGAAAGGGUUCCUGUUGAUCAUAUCGAUGGCCAAGAACCUGCUUCUCAAGGUGAACAAUGGCAGGAAGAGGAUCAGGAAACUGAAGAUGCAGACUGGCAAGAAGCUAGUCUGGACCAUAACGAGUUGAUGGAUGAUCGUAAUGAAGAAGCCUCUGACAUGAAUCAUGAGGACGGUGAGAGUGAAAAUGGAGGUUAUGAUGAUAUGCAAGAAGCCCCUGAUGCACAACGUGAGGAUGGUGGCUUGCACGACACUAGACAAAAUUGGUUUGAAGGGUCUUACAAUCUACAAGCUGCCACCAUUGGAAGAACAGACACAUUUUAUCUUCCUGAUGAUGACAACGUACACAAUACUGAACUGAGGGAACUCUUAAGCAGGAGAAGUGUGUCUACCCUUCUUCGUAGUGGUUUUCGUGAGAGCCUUGACCAAUUGAUACAAUCAUAUGUGGAAAGGCAAAAUCAUGCAUCUGUUGACUGGGAUCUGAAUGAAGCAGCUCCUACUCCUGAAUCCCUUGAACAAGAUAUAGAACAGCAAAGCAGGGAUCAGAAUGAGGGUCAGAGUUCUCCAAUUGCUCCUUCUUCCCCCAGGAUGCCAUCUACGCAGCCACUCUGGGACCAGGAUUCUCACCACUAUAAUUGGCAACCACAUGAUGGGCAUCAGCGCUUUGGCAUUGAGUGGGAGAUAAUUAACGAUCUGAGGGUUGACAUGACAAGACUGCAGCAAAGAAUGAAUAACAUGCAGAGGAUGCUGGAGGCCUGCAUGGAUAUGCAACUUGAGUUACAGCGGUCAAUAAGACAAGAGGUUUCUGCUGCCCUGAACCGGUCAGCUGGUUCACAAGGUAUGAUUGAUGAUGACUUGCCUAAGGAUGCAUCAUCUAACUGGGAUAAUGUUCGGAAAGGAAUUUGCUGUAUAUGCUGCGAAAGCAAUAUCGAUUCAUUACUAUACAGAUGUGGACACAUGUGCACAUGCUUAAACUGCGCCACUGAGUUGGCUCAUGGUGGAGGGAAGUGUCCGAUGUGUCAUGCACCAGUAGUUGAGGUCAUCCGUGCUUACUCAAUCCAUUAAUAAAAGUUAAAGAAGAAAAGAAUCUGGAUUAACAAUUAUAGAAUCUUUCAUCCUCGCCAUCUCCAGGAAAUGAGAACUUAGAAUGCAAGGGCCUUUGUUAUUUUUUAAGGAACCCGACAGUUGUUUUAGCCCAAAAUAUACAAGAACGGUUCGACAUCGAUCCACCCGGUCAGCGGUUCAUGGUCUAAUCGCGAUUUUUAGUGCUUCACGAUCCAUCUGGUUUCUUUUUUACCUUACACUGCAUGGAUAUACCGAUCGAUUCUCGAUCCAACUAGUUCAAUUGGUUCGAUUCUGAAAACCAUCAAUUUAAUCAUUUAAUUUAUUAAUUU